rnacentral:lncRNA from 1 species
CAUUCAUGAUGUGGUCUGACACUCUCAGCAGCGAGUGGACCCACAUGCACUUCAUUUGGACCUGGAGAAUGAAGCGGGAUCCCAGAAAGCACUUUUUCUCAUCAGAAAUCUCUAUCUGUAUGUGUAAUUUCAGAUACUUUCUGCUUUAUUUUUUUCCAGAGUCACGAGAACUGAGUUUGUUUCAGUGGCCGAGCCUGCAAGGAGAAGGACAGACAGAGCACAUGUUCACCGUGAUACUCUAG